rnacentral:lncRNA from 1 species
CUGCGCCCGCGCUUUCCUGCUCUCCCCCGCUCGUCUGCCCGCGGAGGGCGGCCCCGGGGUACCCCUCCCCACCUGAUGGCACCGACGUCCCUGGCCUUAGCGCCCCACCCCGACUCUUCCUCAUGGCGGGCACCUGUGUUUAUCAAACUAGCCGGACCACAGGUGCCCUGCUGAGUGCGCACCGGGCGCUGAAACCAGAGCCGCGCUCUACAGGGUCCAGAGUGAGGCCCACAGAGUGGAUGGAACCCCUGAGCCACACAGCUGGUCAGAGAAUGGCACAGACACAACCCAGGCCUCCAUCUACUCGACAGACCUCACCACGAGCCUACUAUGUGCUGGGUGUGGUCCCCACCCUCUGGGAUCUCCUGCGACCACGCUGAGUGCCGAGGACAGGAGCCCUGUCUACACCUGUGUGUCCCCUUCUCCCCUCCAGGACCAGCCCAGCAGAGGCUCAGGAGCCCAGAGGACAACAGUCCCUGCAGUGCGCCUUCCAUCCACUGGGAGGCACAAGACCAGUCUGAACAGCAGAGGGAGCAGGAGGAUGGGGCUACAGGGAAAGGGUCCUGGCUGGAGGCCUGUGGGCAGGCAGGGCUGUUCUGGGCCCUCUGGAGAGGAGCUGGUUGACAGCUUGUUCUAGGGUUGCAGGAGGGCACAGUCCCUGAAAUGCCCACGGGGUCUACACCCCAAGACCUUGAUCUGAGGUAGGAGAGGAAGACAGCUGCAUCCCAUUCUGCCCCAUUCCACCCUGCGUGGACUUUGAGAUCCAGGUGGGCGCCAUGGGAAAGGUAGCAGGGUGGGUCAGUGCUGUCUGGAAAGAUUAGAUAAGGAGGAGGAAGGGAGCUAGAUAGAAGUGGGGCAGGUGACUAUCAAGGAGCCUGACUCAAAACCUACCACCUUGGCCACCAUCAGAGCACCAUGGGAGGGGGAAUGACAGAC